GAUGAACGCUGGCGGCGUGCCUAAUACAUGCAAGUCGAACGCAGAGUUUCAUUUCGGUGAGGCUUUGAGUGGCGCACGGGUGAGUAACACGUAGCUGACCUGCCCUUCAGAGGGGGACAACUGCUGGAAACGGCAGCUAAUACCCCGUACGCUCGCGAGGACCAGAAGACUCGUGAGGAAAGCGGAAACGUGCUGAAGGAGGGGGCUGCGACCCAUCAGCUAGUUGGUAGGGUAACGGCCUACCAAGGCGAGGACGGGUAGGGGGCCUGAGAGGGUGACCCCCCA
rnacentral:rRNA from 1 species